rnacentral:rRNA from 1 species
AUUGAACGCUGGCGGCAUGCUUUACACAUGCAAGUCGAACGGUAACAGGUUAAGCUGACGAGUGGCGAACGGGUAAGUAAUGCAUCGGAACGUGCCCGAUCGUGGGGGAUAACGCAGCGAAAGCUGCGCUAAUACCGCAUACGAUCUGAGGAUGAAAGCGGGGGACCGUAAGGCCUCGCGCGAUCGGAGCGGCCGAUGUCAGAUUAGGUAGUUGGUGGGGUAAAGGCUCACCAAGCCAACGAUCUGUAGCUGGGCUGAGAGGACGACAAGCCACACGGGGACGGAGACACGGCCCAGACUCCUACGGGAGGCAGCAGGGGGGAAUUUUGGAGAAUGGGCGAAAGCCUGAUCCAGCAAUGCCGCGUGCAGGAAGAAGGCCUUCGGGUUGUAAACUGCUUUUGUACGGAGCGAAAAGGCCCUCUCUAAUACAGGGGGCUCAUGACGGUACCGUAAGAAUAAGCACCGGCUAACUACGUGCCAGCAGCCGCCGUAACAC